rnacentral:tRNA from 1 species
GCGCUCGUAGCUCAGCAGGAUAGAGCGGCGGUUUCCUAAACCGCAGGUCGGAGGUUCGAGUCCUCCCGGGCGCG